UACAGAGGGGGCAAGCGUUGUUCGGAAUUACUGGGCGUAAAGGGCGCGUAGGCGGCCUGUUAAGUCGAACGUGAAAUCCCUGGGCUCAACCCAGGAACUGCGUCCGAUACUGGCAGGCUUGAAUCCGGGAGAGGGAUGUGGAAUUCCAGGUGUAGCGGUGAAAUGCGUAGAUAUCGGGAGGAACACCAAUGGCGAAGGCAGCUCGCUGGGACGGUACUGACGCUGAGACGCGAAAGCGUGGGGAGCAAACAGG
rnacentral:rRNA from 1 species